UCUCUGGUUCAGAUGGGUCCUCUGCUGAUGUCUCUGUGGUAAAAAUGACGAAUCCCCGCUGGGAAACACGCCCCGGGUUUAAGGUUGACGGACGGUCCUUCAGGUCGGCGGCGUGGACGGCAGAGGAAGCCACGCCUCUCCUGCGCCGGCAGAAAAACGAGCAGCGGGACGGCAGCUGAAGGAUGGAGCGGCGGAGCCGUGCCUCCACCGUUUAACGGCGCUCCCCGCAUGACGAAUGCCCGGCCGAUCAAACCGAGCGGCCAUGUUUCCUGGGUGAACUCGGAGCAGAAUUAGUGCCCCUCACCUCUUCUUCCAGGGAUUCAUCUUUAAAGCACAUUAGGUCAGGCAGUUAGCUGAUGCUCCAUCUAUCCGUCUAUUAAUCUAUUAAUUAGAGGGCUAAUUAGGCCAGAGGAGAAGCCACUGACACCACGUCACUCUUAACCCCGUUCCUUACCGCUCAUUACCUCCCACCCACGCAUCCUGCACCCUGUAAUUAAUGACGGGCUUUAACACCACGGUCUGAGCUCGUUCAUCUCCGCUCGUGGCUGAAGGCUGAAGGCAGAGCGCCUCGUCUGGGCCGCCUCAAAAUGUUUUCCUGGACGUGGAGGCUAACGCUAGCUGCCGGGAAAACGUCUGAAACGUUCGCUAAGAGUUUGCUAACUUUAACCAGAUGCAUUAUUAACUAUUAAAACUAAGGCUUGGACUGCAUGUUGUUAGGGAACAUUAUUGUGAGAAUAAUAAGAAUAAUGUUUAGUGUUCCUUUGGGACAGUGCUUAUCCAAUAGUGUGUCGCGCCCCCUGGGGGAGCGUAAAGGUGUUGCAGGGGGGAACAGCACCCCCUGCUGUUUGGUCUGUACCUGCGGUCAGUAAUGUGAUAAAUACUAUUAAUAAACUUCCUAAAAAAGUACAAAACUUCAUGUAACUGAAGUUUGUCUUGAAUAUUAACGGCUAGAUGUUGUUUUUGCCAUACGAGGUUCAUAGCUAGCUAAAAGCUGACUGCAGGUACGAGUCAGACUAAAAGCCGUUUAUAUUGUUAAUAUUAUAUAGUUGAAAAGCAACGUUUUACGCAUUCUAGUUGUUAGAAACCAAUGUUACAUGUUAUAAAUGAACCUAUAUACACACACACAUAUACAUAUAUAUAUAUAGAUAUAGAUAUAUAGAUAUAGAUAUAUAUAUAUAUAGAGACAGAUAGAUAUGUGUAUGGGUUAAUUUUAAAAGGGAUUGUGGGUAAUCGCCAGAACAGCUUUAAUGCAUUACAGCAGAAAACGAUAAAAGUUACAUUUUAACACUUUUUAUUGGGAUGGGGGGUAAACAGAAAACCUUUGAUAUUUAAAGAGAUUUCUAUCUUUUUGUCGCUGCUUUUCUGCUACAUGAAGCAGGAACACGAGGGAAUUAUCUUGGUUCUUCCAUUUCGCACCAUGUUUCUGCUAAUAGUUCAGUAUUUCUCUAUAAAUGAUGGACUAAUGUGAGCCAAAGUAAAGCAGAUAAAAACUUUCUGUUGCACCCUGUUGGCCGUGGUUCUGGUUCUGAUCUCUGCGUUUUUCCUUCGUACCAAAUGACUGGCAGGCUGUAGACGAUGAAACGAGUUUUGUCUUCUUGUUCCUGACGAGGAUCUUCUGUAUCAGUCAGAUGUCGCACAUUUAAUUUAAUAAAUUGUGAUUCAGACUGUUAAAAACAGCCGUAUUCACCUCCACGGUU